rnacentral:rRNA from 1 species
GUUAAUAACCUCGCCGAUUGACGUUACCCGCAGAAGAAGCACCGGCUAACUCCUGCCAGCAGCCGGGUUAUACGAGGGGUGCCAAGCGUUAUUUGGAAUUUUUGGCGUAAAAGCCACGCCAGGCGGUUCUGUUAAAUUCAGAUUGUGAAAGUCCCCGGGCUUAACCUGGGAACUGCCAUUUGAAACUGGCCAGGCUUGAUUCUCGUAGAGGGGGGUUAGAAUUCCAGGUGUAGCGGUGAAAUGCGUAGAGAUCUGGAGGAAUACCGGUGGCGAAGGCGGCCCCCUGGACCGAAAGACUGACGCUCAGGUGCGAAAGCGUGGGGAGCCAACCAGGAUUAGAUACCCUGGUAGUCCACGCCGUAAAACGAUGUCGACUUGGAGGUUGUUCCCUUGAGGAGUGGCUUCCGGAGCUAACGCGUUAAGUCGACCGCCUGGGGAGUACGGCCGCAAGGUUAAAACUCAAAUGAAUUGACGGGGGCCCGCACAAGCGGUGGAGCAUGUGGUUUAAUUCGAUGCAACGCGAAGAACCUUACCUACUCUUGACAUCCAGAGAACUUUCCAGAGAUGGAUUGGUGCCUUCGGGAACUCUGAGACAGGUGCUGCAUGGCUGUCGUCAGCUCGUGUUGUGAAAUGUUGGGUUAAGUCCCGCAACGAGCGCAACCCUUAUCCUUUGUUGCCAGCGAUUCGGUCGGGAACUCAAAGGAGACUGCCGGUGAUAAACCGGAGGAAGGUGGGGAUGACGUCAAGUCAUCAUGGCCCUUACGAGUAGGGCUACACACGUGCUACAAUGGCGCAUACAAAGAGAAGCGACCUCGCGAGAGCAAGCGGACCUCACAAAGUGCGUCGUAGUCCGGAUCGGAGUCUGCAACUCGACUCCGUGAAGUCGGAAUCGCUAGUAAUCGUGGAUCAGAAUGCCACGGUGAAUACGUUCCCGGGCCUUGUACACACCGCCC